rnacentral:lncRNA from 1 species
AAGUGCCUUCAGUUUUCCAAAGAGGAGGUUAUUAGUAACACAGAAGACUAUUUUAUGUCCAAGACCGUGGGCAUCGGGAGACUCCAGAAGCCUUCUUUCUUGGAUGAUCCACUGUAUGGUAUCAAUGUGAGCCUUUCAUUGGAAGACCAGUAUCUGAAACUCAGUCCUCCCAAGGAACCAGCACCAGAUAAACAGGAGAUGAAAGAGGUGAUGGAAGAAUAUAAAGAAUCUUAAGCAAGGACUUGCUAGGAUAUGCUCUUAAGACAGUUGGUAAUUAAAUUAAAUUCCUUAUUUUCUCUGAAUUCUUUAAAUUCAAUGAGUACUGUGG